rnacentral:rRNA from 1 species
GACGAACCGUGCGAACGUUGUUCGGAUUCACUGGGCUUAAAGGGCGCGUAGGCGGGCUGCCAAGUCAGGGGUGAAAUCCUCCGGCUCAACCGGAGAACAGCCUCUGAUACUGGCAGCCUUGAGGGAGGUAGGGACAGGUGGAACUUCUGGUGGAGCGGUGAAAUGCGUAGAUAUCAGAAGGAACGCCGGUGGCGAAAGCGACCUGCUGGACCUCUUCUGACGCUGAGGCGCGAAAGCUAGGGGAGCAAACGGG